AACGCAUAUUGCGCUCUCUGGUAUUCCGGAGAGCAUGCUUGUUUGAGUAUCAGUAAACACCUCAACUCCCCUUUCUUUUUUGAAAUGGGAGCUGGACUUGAGUGAUCCCAACGCUUUUCUCACCGAAAAGUGGCGGGUUACUUGAAAUGCAGGUGCAGCUGGACUUUUCUCUGAGCUAAAAGCAUAUCUAUUUAGUCUGCCUAAAAAACAGAUUAUUACCUUUGCUGCAGCUAACAUAAAGGAGAUUAGUUCUUGUGCUGACUGAUGCAGGAUUCACAGAGACAGCUUCGGCUGGCUUUGUAAACUCGAUCUCAAAUCAAGUAAGACUACCCGCUGAACUUAA
rnacentral:misc_RNA from 1 species